rnacentral:rRNA from 2 species
UGGGGAAUAUUGCACAAUGGGGGAAACCCUGAUGCAGCGACGCCGCGUGAACGAAGAAGGUAUUCGUAUCGUAAAGUUCUGUCCUAUGGGAAGAUAAUGACAGUACCAUAGAAGAAAGCUCCGGCUAAAUACGUGCCAGCAGCCGCGGUAAUACGUAUGGAGCGAGCGUUGUCCGGAAUUAUUGGGCGUAAAGGGUACGCAGGCGGUUUAAUAAGUCGAAUGUUAAAGAUCGGGGCUCAACCCCGUAAAGCAUUGGAAACUGAUAAACUUGAGUAGUGGAGAGGAAAGUGGAAUUCCUAGUGUAGUGGUGAAAUACGUAGAUAUUAGGGGGAAUACCAGUAGCGAAGGCGACUUUCUGGACACAAACUGACGCUGAGGUACGAAAGCGUGGGGAGCAAACAGG